AACAGCAGCAGCAGCAGCAGCAACAGCAGCCGCAAUGGCAGUUGCAACAAGAGCAACAGCCUCCGGUAUGUCUACAAAGUUGAGUUGCAAUUUUAGUUUUCUCCUGCUGCUGUCGGAGGCUGGCACUGCCUCUGCUGUUGCUGCUGAUGCUGCUGCUGUU
rnacentral:sRNA from 1 species